rnacentral:rRNA from 1 species
CCUGUUUAACAAAAACAUGUCUUUUUGAAUUUAAUUUAAAGUCUAACCUGCCCACUGAUUUUUGAAGGGCCGCAGUAUCUUGACUGUGCAAAGGUAGCAUAAUCAUUUGCCUUUUAAUUGAAGGCUAGAAUGAAUGGUUGGACGAAAUAUAGACUGUCUUAUUUUAAGAAUUAUAAAAAUUUAGCUUCCUAGUCAAAAGGCUUGGAUAUUUUUAGAGGACGAGAAGACCCUAUAGAACUUUAUAAUUUAAUUUUAAUUUUAUGUAGUAAAAAAUUAUUAAUUAUUAGUAUAAUUAUUUUGUUGGGGUGACAAGGAAAUUAAUUUAACUUUCUUACUUAUAAACCAUUGAUUUAUGAUUAUUUGAUCCAUUAUUAUUGAUUAUUUGAAUAAGUUACCUUAGGGAUAACAGCGUAAUUUUAUUGGCGAGCUCUAAUCAAUAAUAAAGAUUGCGACCUCGAUGUUGAAUU